UACGUAGGUGGCAAGCGUUGUCCGGAUUUAUUGGGUUUAAAGGGUGCGUAGGCGGUCUUUUAAGUCAGUGCUGAAAUAUCCCGGCUUAACCGGGAGGGUGGCAUUGAUACUGAAGGACUUGAGUAAAGUUGAGGUUGGCGGAAUUGACGGUGUAGCGGUGAAAUGCUUAGAUAUGCGGAAGAACACCAGUGGCGAAGGCGGUCAACUGGCCUCAUAUUGACACUCAGACGCGAAGGCAUGGGUAGCGAACGGG
rnacentral:rRNA from 1 species